GCCUCUGUAGCUUAACCGGACAGAGCGCACGCCUUCUAAGCGUGGAUGUGCGAGUUCGACUCUCGCCAGAGGCACCC
rnacentral:tRNA from 1 species